rnacentral:rRNA from 1 species
UACAGAGGGUGCAAGCGUUGUUCGGAAUUAUUGGGCGUAAAGCGCGUGUAGGCGGCCAUCUAAGUCUGGUGUGAAAGCCCAGGGCUUAACCCUGGAAGUGCACUGGAUACUGGGUGGCUAGAGGACGAGAGAGGGAAGUGGAAUUCCUGGUGUAGGGGUGAAAUCCGUAGAUAUCAGGAGGAACAUCGGUGGCGAAGGCGACUUCCUGGCUCGUUUCUGACGCUCAGACGCGAAAGCGUGGGGAGCAAAC